GAUCCUAGCUCAGGAUAAACGCUAGCGGCAGGCCUAACACAUGCAAGUCGAGGGGCAUCGGAUAGAGUACUUCGGUACUCUUGCCGGCGACCGGCGGACGGGUGCGUAACGCGUAUGCAACCUACCUUCAACAGGGGGAUAAUCCGAAGAAAUUUGGUCUAAUACCCCAUAAUAUUCCGACAGGCAUCUGUCGGAGUUGAAAGCUUCGGUGGUUGGAGAUGGGCAUGCGUUGUAUUAGCUAGAUGGUG
rnacentral:rRNA from 1 species